GCGGAGGAAAAGAAACCAACCGGGAUUGCCCCAGUAACGGCGAGUGAAGCGGCAAGAGCUCAAAUUUGAAAUCUGGCCCCUCCGGGGUCCGAGUUGUAAUUUGCAGAGGAUGCUUCGGGUGCGGCCCCUGUCUAAGUGCCCUGGAACGGGCCGUCAGAGAGGGUGAGAAUCCCGUCUUGGGCAGGGUGCCCGUGCCCGUGUGAAGCUCCUUCGACGAGUCGAGUUGUUUGGGAAUGCAGCUCUAAAUGGGUGGUAAAUUUCAUCUAAAGCUAAAUACCGGCCGGAGACCGAUAGCGCACAAGUAGAGUGAUCGAAAGAUGAAAAGCACUUUGAAAAGAGAGUUAAACAGCACGUGAAAUUGUUGAAAGGGAAGCGCUUGCGACCAGACUCGGCCUCGGGGUUCAGCCAGCAUUCGUGCUGGUGUACUUCCCCGGGGCCGGGCCAGCGUCGGUUCGGGCGGCCGGUCAAAGGCCCCAGGAAUGUAUCGUCCUCCGGGACGUCUUAUAGCCUGGGGUGCAAUGCGGCCAGCCUGGACCGAGGAACGCGCUUCGGCACGGACGCUGGCGUAAUGGUUGCAAACGACCCGUCUUGAAACACGGACCAAGGAGUCUAACAUCUACGCGAGUGUUCGGGUGUCAAACCCGUACGCGCAGUGAAAGCGAACGGAGGUGGGAGCCCCUUUGGGGCGCACCAUCGACCGAUCCUGAUGUCUUCGGAUGGAUUUGAGUACGAGCGUAGCUGUGGGGACCCGAAAGAUGGUGAACUAUGCCUGAAUAGGGCGAAGCCAGAGGAAACUCUGGUGGAGGCUCGCAGCGGUUCUGACGUGCAAAUCGAUCGUCAAAUUUGGGUAUAGGGGCGAAAGACUAAUCGAACCAUCUGGUAGC
rnacentral:rRNA from 1 species